rnacentral:RNase_P_RNA from 1 species
CAAGAUGGCUGGGCGGCCGCUGUUCCGAUUCGUCGGGAUAGAGGAAAGUCCGAGCUCCACCGGGAAGGAUGCCCGCUAACAGCGGGGCGGGGCGACCCGACGGAAAGUGCCACAGAAACAUACCGCCCCGACCUGUCGGGGUAAGGGUGAAAUGGCGAGGUAAGAGCUCACCGCUCCGGUGGCGACAUCGGAGGCAGGGCAAACCCCAUCCGGUGCAAGGCCUAAUAGGGGGAAUAUGGGACCCGGACCAUCCCCGGGUUGGCCGCAAGACUCCGAUGGCAACAUCGGGGCUAGAUAGAUGGUCGCCGUCCCGACUUGUCGGGAUACAGAACUCGGCUUAUAGGCUGUCUUGAACA